ensembl:lncRNA
CAGUUUCAUAAAGCUAUGUUUAUCUCCUUUUAGUUUCUACUACUUUUUCCAAGUCUGUCAGCUUUACAUAGAAUUUUACAUUUUGUCAAAUGAAGUUGAUAAUACUAAUUUCACAAGAAUAAAGGCCAACAUUCAUAAACUACAAUAACAAGCCAACAACGUGCCUGUGUCUGUGAAUGGGAAGAGGGAGAAGAAAAAGGCCUUGUUUUGGUAGAAAAACAAAUUUCAGUUUGCAUUUCACAAGGGAUUAUCAUCAGUCUUGAGCAAACUCAAUGUCUGUGAACAUCUUACAUUAUUCUUAUGAUCCACAGGUUUUACAGAGCUAGCUUGACUUUGCAGACAUUUCUUUGAUGUAAUUUAAACCUUACUUAGCAGGUCAGAAAAUAACACAUAGCUACCCAACAUGUCAGAUAUUUCUUUGGACCAUGGGCAGGAGGUAUUACUAGUUUUUCUUUCAGAUCCUCUUUCCAUGCUAUCUAAUCCAUUCUUCACACUAUGUUCGUAGUUGUUUUCCUAUGCUGCUUUCUUCUAUUUCCCUUAUUUUAUCAUUAGAUAUUAUUCCAUGUGAUCAUCUUCUGAAAAAAACAAGAAGCUAAUAAUAUUUCAUGAUUAGAGAUGGUCUUUGAAUGGGCUUGUAAUGAGGUAAAAUGAAUUCACCCAUCUCUAGUCGUUUUGUAUACAAUAUUCUCCUAAUAAUGAGAAAUACCUUGACAAAAUCCCCUUAAUUAAAACAUUCAACAAACUGAGAGCCUGUAGUAGCUGGCUUUAUGGAUUUACACAGUAUGUAACUUAAGCAGUGGCUGAGUCGAAAUCUAGGGUAAGUUGCUGUGAUUUAUGCUUUCUUUAGCCCAAAAGUAUUUUACGCUGUAUUGGCUCUCUUUUAGUGUACUUAAACACCUUCAGGCUUACUUAAUUACCCAGAAUAAUUUUGAUUCACAAUCACUGACUAAUGUGUGAGUUACAUUCUUGUCCCUUUACAUGAAUUCUCCACCCUUAAUCUAUUUUACUAUAAAAAGCUUCAACAACGUUAAAGUGUGAUUCACGGGAUGUGCUGUUGUUACACUAAUGAACUCCUACUGAAUACUGCAAAUAUUAAAGAAUUGUUACUCUGUUGUAGGAAUUGAUUACAAUUUCUUUUCUUUGCAAGCAAUGGCAGGUUUUACAGCUCUUUUCAUGACACUUUUUUUUAAAGAGAAGAUAUACAAAAAAAUACUGACAGAAAGCUACUUUCCCAGUGAAAGUUACUACGGCUCAUCUGUGGGCAAAGAGAUUUUCAUUUAACAGAAAAAUUCCAAAAGAAAAAGAGAUAUUCUAAAUAAAUAAACCAAACCUACUAUUUCAGUGUAAUACCAAUUGGCCUUUAACAAUAGGUGGUGUAAAAUCAAGCCAGAAGCACAAGCCUUCCAAAACAUAUACCAGCCACUGUUUGUAAAAGUGAAAAGAAAAUUAACACACUGAGAAAGGAAAAACACAUCUUUGAUGUCAACCCUUCUGCAGACUUCUCUGUAGCUGUAACAGUUGCUCUCCCCAUUUUCCAGUGAGAUGUGAUGGACAAUGAGGAACGGGAGAGUGCCAGGAAUAAGUGGUAUAUCUGUUUGAAGCUUCAGGCAGCAGCUGGGCUAGGUUCAAAUGAGUUCGUUGAUGGUAAUUCCUGAAGUGACUUAUUCUUGGUGGUGUACUUUGAUUAACUCUUUGAAAAAAAUUACGUUUAGGUUUUAUGAGGCAGGAACUGACAGUCAUUCUGCAAUAGCGUGGAAGUUUAUAAUUUGCUCAGCAAAAGCUUGCAUGCUGGUGUAUUUUAGAAGUGUUGGUCACCUCAGUACCUGAGAACCCCUUCUUGCUGGAUUCUCUUAGUUCUCCGGAAUGGAAAUUAACUGCAUAGUUUCGGAGCCUGAAUUUCACUUAUCAUUCGCUCGCCAUAUUUGUACAACCAUGAUCUGAGCAGUCUUCACUAUGCAGUUAAGAACAGUUAUGAACUUGCAACAGGUUGUCUGUCCCUGACCCAGCAAACUCACCUCAUUUACUGAGUGCUACACCAAUGUAAACCACGCACUGAUAAACUCAAAGAUUAGGGUCUUUGUCUUGAGGAACUGACACAACUGAUCAAAAGCCUUCAGAUGCCAAGGGAAGACCCUUACUGGCCUCAAUAGACUGUGGAUC